AACGAACGCUGGCGGCAUGCCUAACACAUGCAAGUCGAACGAGACCUUCGGGUCUAGUGGCGCACGGGUGCGUAACGCGUGGGAACCUGCCCUUAGGUUCGGAAUAACUCCCCGAAAGGGGUGCUAAUACCGGAUAAUGUCUUCGGACCAAAGAUUUAUCGCCUUUGGAUGGGCCCGCGUUGGAUUAGCUAGUUGGUAGGGUAAAAGCCUACCAAGGCGACGAUCCAUAGCUGGUCUGAGAGGAUGAUCAGCCACACUGGGACUGAGACACGGCCCAGACUCCUACGGGAGGCAGCAGUGGGGAAUAUUGGACCAUGGGCGAAAGCCUGAUCCAGCUAUGCCGCGUGAGUGAUGAAGGCCUUAGGGUUGUAAAGCUCUUUUACCCGGGAUGAUAAUGACAGUACCGGGAGAAUAAGCGCCGGCUAACUACGUG
rnacentral:rRNA from 1 species